CAGGCUCGUGUCGUGAGAUGUUGGGUUAAGUCCCGCAACGAGCGCAACCCUUGUCACUAGUUGCCAUCAUUUAGUUGGGCACUCUAGUGAGACUGCCGGUGACAAACCGGAGGAAGGUGGGGAUGACGUCAAGUCCUCAUGGCCCUUAUGGUAGGGCUUCACACGUCAUACAAUGGUCGGUACAGAGGGUUGCCAAGCCGCGAGGGUGGAGCCAAUCCCUUAAAGCCGAUCGUAGUCCGGAUCGUAGUCUGCAACUCGACUACGUGAAGUCGGAAUCGCUAGUAAUCGCAGAUCAGCAUGCUGCGGUGAAUACGUUCCCGGGUCUU
rnacentral:rRNA from 1 species